rnacentral:rRNA from 1 species
AAACCAACAGGGAUUGCCUCAGUAACGGCGAGUGAAGCGGCAAAAGCUCAAAUUUGAAACCCUCGGGAUUGUAAUUUGAAGAUUUGGCAUUGGAGAAAGCUAACCCAAGUUGCUUGGAAUAGUACGUCAUAGAGGGUGACAACCCCGUCUGGCUAACCGUUCUCCAUGUAUUGCCUUAUCAAAGAGUCGAGUUGUUUGGGAAUGCAGCUCAAAGUGGGUGGUAAACUCCAUCUAAAGCUAAAUACUGGUGAGAGACCGAUAGCGAACAAGUACUGUGAAGGAAAGGUGAAAAGAACUUUGAAAAGAGAGUGAAAUAGUAUGUGAAAUUGUUGAUAGGGAAGGAAAUGAGUGGAGAGUGGCCGAGGUUUCAGCCGCCCCUCGUGGGCGGUGUACUGCCGACGCCGAGUCAUCGAUAGCGAGACGAGGGUUACAAAUGGGAGCGCCUUUCGGGCGUUCUCCCCUAACCCUCCACACUGCCACCGACGACAUAAUCCACCCAUUUCAC